CAGGCUCACCGACUAGAACCAACCUCGAUUGUUUUCCCGGGCUCACAAUCAAACCCUUACACCCGUUGGUUUUAAACCGGCUCACCAACCAACCUUAAUCCCCUUGAUUCAAUCCCCCGAUUGAAUCAAGUAAAUACACGAGAUAGAAGAAAACAGAAAAUAGCUUCUCAAAAAGCAGAUUUAAAACAAUAUAAUCGUAAAGGAGUUAGAAGCCCUCAAACGCUUUUAAGAUGGUGAAGAGGUGUGGCUUCUGGAACUCCGGUCUCCUCUUGAAAGAGUGGUCGACUUGAAAGCAGGAGGAGGAAGCUUUUAAUGCUGGGAAGAUGUUGGUUGAGCAGUAAAUGCAGAUCUCCCCUUUUUCUUGUUGAAGAGCACUUAGAGAGCUUGAAGACUUGAAUGCUUGGUGUGGAAUCUGUAGUCUCUGCUUUGCUACAGUCUUCUGUGGCUAUUUAAGCCAACCCCCACGAAAACUAGCCGUUACUCUGCUUUUUCUGGCCGUUCUGCACACUCUGCGCAGCCUGACAAUGUGACCGUUGGUGGGUUGGAGUCGACUCGCGCGAUCAGGAGUCGACUCGGCUGUAGCAGGAGUCGACUCGAGCUUUUCCGGAGUCGACUCGGCAACUGUUCCAAGUUUGAAUUAAAGUUGCCGUCUUGACUGGGAAUCGACUCGUCUUG
rnacentral:lncRNA from 1 species